AUGGCUAGCCUGGCACUGAAUUGUACUAUAUAACCUUCCAUCUCUUUUGGUGGAAAUGCAGCUAACAACGUCAAAUCCCUCUUCUACAACAGCUUCUAGCACUCUUGAUAGAGGAAAACUGUUCUCUCCGGAUCCACAACUUACGCCAAUCUCUACUCCACCCACAUGAGAGCGGACAGUAACAAUAGUGUUCAUGAAAUUAUUUUGUGAACUAAUUUCCGUCCCUUGGUCAUCAAGAGAAGUAGAAGAAUCGGACAAAUUCUUGAGCAUAUCUCUCUUAACACUCAGUUCUUGGACGUUAUUCUGAAGGUUUUUUAUAUAUUUCG
rnacentral:misc_RNA from 1 species